rnacentral:rRNA from 1 species
GACGAACGCUGGCGGCGUGCUUAACACAUGCAAGUCGAACGGAAAGGCCCUGCUUUUGUGGGGUGCUCGAGUGGCGAACGGGUGAGUAACACGUGAGUAACCUGCCCUUGACUUUGGGAUAACUUCAGGAAACUGGGGCUAAUACCGGAUAUGAGCUCCUGCUGCAUGGGGGGGGUUGGAAAGUUUCGGCGGUUGUGGCUGGACUCGCGGCUUAUCAGCUUGUUGGUGGGGUAGGUGCUUACCAAGGCUUUGAAGGGUAGCCGGCCUGGGAGGUUGAACGGCCACCAGGGGACUGAGAGACGGCCCAGACUCCUACGGGCCGCAGCAGUCGGGAAUAUUGCACAAUGGGCCGAAGUCUGAUGCAGCAACGCCGCGUGCGUGAUGCCGUCCUUCUGGUUGUAAACCGCUUUCGCCUGUGACGAAGCGUGAGUGACGGUAAUGGGUAAAGAAGCACCGGCUAACUACGUG